GACGAACGCUGGCGGCGUGCCUAAUACAUGCAAGUCGAGCGAACCAAUGGGAGCUUGCUCCCUGAGGUUAGCGGCGGACGGGUGAGUAACACGUGGGUAACCUGCCUGUAAGAUUGGGAUAACUCCGGGAAACCGGAGCUAAUACCGGAUAAUAUUUUGAACCGCAUGGUUCAAAAUUGAAAGACGGCUUCGGCUGUCACUUACAGAUGGACCCGCGGCGCAUUAGCUAGUUGGUGAGGUAACGGCUCACCAAGGCGACGAUGCGUAGCCGACCUGAGAGGGUGAUCGGCCACACUGGGACUGAGACACGGCCCAGACUCCUACGGGAGGCAGCAGUAGGGAAUCUUCCGCAAUGGGCGAAAGUCUGACGGAGCAACGCCGCGUGAACGAUGAAGGCCUUCGGGUCGUAAAGUUCUGUUGUUAGGGAAGAACAAGUACCAGAGUAACUGCUGGUACCUUGACGGUACCUAACCAGAAAGCCACGGCUAACUACGUG
rnacentral:rRNA from 1 species